rnacentral:rRNA from 1 species
GACGAACGCUGGCGGCGUGCUUAACACAUGCAAGUCGAACGGAAAGGCCCUGCUUUUGUGGGGUUCCCGAGUGGCGAACGGGUGAGUAACACGUGAGUAACCUGCCCUUGACUUUGGGAUAACUUCAGGUAACUGGAGUUAAUACCGGAUAGGAUCUCCUGCUGCAUGGUGGGGGUUGGAAAGUUUCGGCGGUUGGGGAUGGACUCGCGGCUUAUCAGCUUGUUGGUGGGGUAGUGGCUUACCAAGGAUUUGACGGGUAGCCGGCCUGAGAGGGUGACCGGCCACAAUGGGCCUGAGAUACGGCCCAGACUCCUACGGGAGGCAGCAGUGGGGAAUAUUACACAAUGGGCGGAAGCCUGAUGCAGCAACGCCGCGUGCGGGAAGACGGCCUUCGGGUUGUAAACCGCUUUCGCCUGUGACGAAGCGUGAGUGACGGUAAUGGGUAAAGAAGCACCGGCUAACUACGUG